ACAUGCAGUCGACGAUGAAGCUCAUAUUGCUGGGUGGAUUAGUGGCGAACGGGUGAGUAAACGGGAGUAACCUGCCCUUGACUCUGGGAUAAGCCUGGGAAACUGGAACUAAUACCGGAUAUGACCUUUCACCGCAUGGUGGGGGGUGGAAAGCUUUUGUGGUUUUGGAUGGACUCGCGGCCUAUCAGCUUGUUGGUGGGGUAAUGGCCUACCAAGGCGAUGACGGGUAGCCGGCCUGAGAGGGUGACCGGCCACACUGGGACUGAGACACGGCCCAGACUCCUACGGGAGGCAGCAGUGGGGAAUAUUGCACAAUGGGCGCAAGCCUGAUGCAGCGACGCCGCGUGAGGGAUGACGGCCUUCGGGUUGUAAACCUCUUUCAGUAGGGAAGAAGCUUUCGGGUGACUUUACCUGCAGAAGAAGCGCCGGCUAACUACGUGCCAGCAGCCGCGGUAAUACGUAGGGCGCAAGCGUUAUCCGGAAUUAUUGGGCGUAAAGAGCUCGUAGGCGGUUUGUCGCGUCUGCUGUGAAAGACCGGGGCUCAACUCCGGUUCUGCAGUGGGUACGGGCAGACUAGAGUGAUGUAGGGGAGACUGGAAUUCCUGGUGUAGCGGUGAAAUGCGCAGAUAUCAGGAGGAACACCGAUGGCAAAGGCAGGUCUCUGGGCAUUAACUGACGCUGAGGAGCGAAAGCAUGGGGAGCGAACAGGAUUAGAUACCCUGGUAGUCCAUGCCGUAAACGUUGGGCACUAGGUGUGGGGGACAUUCCACGUUUUCCGCGCCGUAGCUAACGCAUUAAGUGCCGCGCCUGGGGAGUACGGCCGCAAGGCUAAAACUCAAAGGAAUUGACGGGGGCCCGCACAAGCGGCGGAGCAUGCCUAUUAAUUCGAUGCAACGCGAAGAACCUUACCAAGGCUUGACAUGACCGGACCGCUCUGGAAACAGGGCCACCCUUCGGGCUGGGUUCACAGGUGGUUGCAUGGAUUGUCGA
rnacentral:rRNA from 1 species